UACGAAGGGGGCUAGCGUUGUUCGGAAUCACUGGGCGUAAAGGGCGCGUAGGCGACUUUAUAAGUCGGGGGUGAAAGCCUGUGGCUCAACCACAGAAUUGCCUUCGAUACUGUAGAGCUUGAGACCGGAAGAGGUAAGUGGAACUGCGAGUGUAGAGGUGAAAUUCGUAGAUAUUCGCAAGAACACCAGUGGCGAAGGCGGCUUACUGGUCCGGUUCUGACGCUGAGGCGCGAAAGCGUGGGGAGCAAACAGG
rnacentral:rRNA from 1 species